rnacentral:misc_RNA from 1 species
GUUAAGAGAUACACAUAAAGGAAGCUUUCAGAUGAUAAACCAAAGAGUUCAAAGAAAGAAGUUGCCAUGACUGAAAUCUAUGGGUAAAACUCUUUUAGAAAGCUGGGAAUCCCCCUUCUUGAGCCAAAACAAAAUAUUUGAAGCUUAAACAGAAACAGUAACGGUAUAAGUUCACCAUCCCAGAAUAUCUGGCUAUCAUAUCUGAUCCCCAAAUAAGAAGUCAAUCUAGGACUUCAAGAACUAGAAAGUUUAAUUUCAGCAGUUCUUAUCAAGCAAACAGCUAUGCUCUGUGUGAUUAACUUCCACUAAAGUCGGUUGCAGCUAGUAAAAUAACAAGCGAACAUAAA